rnacentral:rRNA from 1 species
AGGAUUGACAGAUUGAGAGCUCUUUCUCUGAUUCKGUGGGUGGUGGUGCAUGGCCGUUCUUAGUUGGUGGAGCGAUUUGUCUGGUUAAUUCCGAUAACGAACGAGACUCUGGCCUGCUAAAUAGUCCACCGAUCCCUAUGCGACGGUGUCCCUUCUUAAACUUCACUCUUGGCGGCAUAGACACGCGAUUUUGGCCGCUAGAGAGGCUGUGAUGCCCAUCUGUGAUGCCCA